rnacentral:tRNA from 1 species
AACAGUAUUCUUGAUAAGUAUAUUAAUAUCAUGGAUAUGUAUGAUAGAGGCGUAAUAUUUUUUGAUCUAAUUAAAAA